rnacentral:tRNA from 1 species
AGUCAGAUAGAUUAACUCAGAUUACCGGACUCAUGAUCCGGAGGUACCACCGGUUCUGGCUG